rnacentral:rRNA from 1 species
AGCGUAGGUGGAACUUUAAGUCGGACUUAAAAGUGCGGGGCUCAACCCCGUGAUGGGUCCGAAACUGGAGUUCUUGAGUGUAGGAGAGGAAAGCGGAAUUCCCAGUGUAGCGGUGAAAUGCGUAGAUAUUGGGAGGAACACCAGUGGCGAAGGCGGCUUUCUGGACUAUAACUGACACUGAGGCUCGAAAGCCAGGGGAGUGAACGG